GCGUUUAGUAUUCCGAGGUGGCAAGUUGCGAACCCUGCCAUUUUAACGUUCUGCUGGUUUCCCCCAACGGGCAAAAGCAGCAACAGCAGCAGCUUCGCCCGAUCUCAGAUCGAUUUGCCGCUCCAUGGCCUCUGAUGCAAACUCGUAUGAAGAACUCCAGCGGCAAAGGGUCCAGGAAAAUCUCAAGCUUCUUGAGGAAUUUGGAAUCUCACAAAUCUCAAAAUGCCUAUUAGAGGUUGCAAAGUGUGAGCAAAAGAUAUUGGAAAAGAAUAUUUGAUGGGAAAGAAAACUUUUGCGGACAAAGAAGAUGAGUUGUAUCUUAGUUCUUUUUUUAAUUUAAAUCCUUGUUUAACUUCUUGGAUUGUUAGACUUGUACAACUUUUGGAGUGUGGAAUUUGUAUAAUAUUUUGGAGUAGCUUGAAGAAGAAAGAUCUUGUAUAACUUGUUCAGACCUUUGAAUUUGUUGUAUUAUGAUUUGAUUUCAAUUAUUAACAAAUGUAUGUGAAAUAGGAAGUGAUAAUAUUAAUU